CGUAGGGGCAAGCGUUAUCCGGAUUCAUUGGGCGUAAAGCGCUCGUAGGCGGUCUGUUAGGUCGGGAGUUAAAUCCGGAGGCUCAACCUCCGCCCGCUCCCGAUACCGGCAGACUUGAGUUUGGUAGGGGAAGGUGGAAUUCCUAGUGUAGCGGUGGAAUGCGCAGAUAUUAGGAAGAACACCAGUGGCGAAGGCGGCCUUCUGGGCCAUAACUGACGCUGAGGAGCGAAAGCUAGGGGAGCAAACAGGAUU
rnacentral:rRNA from 1 species